rnacentral:lncRNA from 1 species
CUGAAAUCUGCAGUCGGAGGUAGAAUUUCUCCCUCGGCGAGGGAAGCUCAGAUUUUUCCAUCUUACGAUCUUCAAAGGAUUGGGCGAGACCCACCCACCCUUGGAGGGUGAUCUACUUUAAAGUCCACAGACUUAAAAGCUAAUUCCAUCUGAAGACUACCUCCAGAGUCACAUCCGGACUGGUGUUCCGCCAAAAUCUGGGAACGGUGGCGGAGGCACGUAGAUGACAAGUCACCCAUCCCGGCCCUCCAGGAGCUUGAAGUGGGCCCUCUGUCCGAUGUGUAUUUGCCCACACACAUGUGUUUCAGGCAAACUUGAGAUAACGCCUAAUGACAGUAAACUUCGUGCCCGUGGCAGAGUUGGGCUCCUGAACUUGGUUCUGUUUCUGUGGGUCGAGCUGCCACCUGACUGUGGAGUCUUCAGAUGGUCUCCAGGGGUCCAAGAAGGGGCUGGUUGGAGGAGGUGGUACAUCAGCCUCUUAAUUCUCAAUACACGAGCUGCCCCCAGCUUCUA